ACGGAGGGUGCAAGCGUUGUUCGGAAUUACUGGGCGUAAAGCGCGCGUAGGCGGCCGUAUAAGUCAUUUGUGAAAGUCCCUGGCUCAACCAGGGAAGUGCAUGUGAAACUGUGCGGCUUGAGUACUGGAGGGGGUAGUGGAAUUCCCGGUGUAGAGGUGAAAUUCGUAGAUAUCGGGAGGAAUACCGGUGGCGAAGGCGACUACCUGGCCAGAUACUGACGCUGAGGUGCGAAAGCGUGGGGAGCAAACAGG
rnacentral:rRNA from 1 species